rnacentral:rRNA from 1 species
UGCUUAACACAUGCAAGUCGAACGGAAACGAUGGAAGCUUGCUUCCAGGCGUCGAGUGGCGAACGGGUGAGUAAUGCUUGGGAAUCUGCCUAAUAGUGGGGAACAACUCGGGGAAACUCGGGCUAAUACCGCAUAAUCUCUUUGGAGGAAAGGGGGCCUCUACAUGUAAGCUCUCGCUAAUAGAUGAGCCCAAGUCAGAUUAGCUUGUUGGUAAGGUAACGGCUUACCAAGGCUACGAUCUGUAGCUGGUCUGAGAGGAUGAUCAGCCACACUGGGACUGAGACACGGCCCAGACUCCUACGGGAGGCAGCAGUGGGGAAUAUUGCACAAUGGGCGAAAGCCUGAUGCAGCAAUGCCGCGUGUGUGAAGAAGGCUCUAGGGUUGUAAAGCACUUUCAAUAAGGAAGAAAAGCAUAAGGUUAAUAACCUUAUGUAUUGACGUAACUUAUACAAGAAGCACCGGCUAAUUCCGUGCCAGCAGCCGCGGUAAUACGGAAGGUGCAAGCGUUAAUCGGAAUUACUGGGCGUAAAGCGCGCGUAGGCUGUUAUUUAAGUCGGAUGUGAAAUCCUCGGGCUCAACCCGGGAACUGCAUCCGAAACUGAAUAACUAGAGUAUGGGAGAGGUAAGUAGAAUUUCCGGUGUAGCGGUGAAAUGCGUAGAUAUCGGAAGGAAUACCAGUGGCGAAGGCGGCUUACUGGACCAAUACUGACGCUGAGGUGCGAAAGCGUGGGGAGCGAACAGGAUUAGAUACCCUGGUAGUCCACGCCGUAAACGAUGAGAACUAGAUGUUGGGAGGGUUAGCCUCUCAGUGUCGCAGCUAACGCAUUAAGUUCUCCGCCU